rnacentral:rRNA from 1 species
GUGGGGAAUUUUGGACAAUGGGGGCAACCCUGAUCCAGCCAUUCCGCGUGAGUGAAGAAGGCCUUCGGGUUGUAAAGCUCUUUCGGCAGGAACGAAACGGUGAGCUCUAACAUAGCUCGCUAAUGACGGUACCUGAAGAAGAAGCACCGGCUAACUACGUGCCAGCAGCCGCGGUAAUACGUAGGGUGCGAGCGUUAAUCGGAAUUACUGGGCGUAAAGCGUGCGCAGGCGGUUGUGUAAGACAGGUGUGAAAUCCCCGGGCUUAACCUGGGAACUGCGCUUGUGACUGCACGGCUAGAGUAUGGCAGAGGGGGGUGAAAUUCCACGUGUAGCAGUGAAAUGCGUAGAGAUGUGGAGGAACACCGAUGGCGAAGGCAGCCCCCUGGGCCAAUACUGACGCUCAUGCACGAAAGCGUGGGGAGCAAACAGGAUUAGAAACCCUGGUAGUCC